rnacentral:rRNA from 1 species
AACGAACGCUGGCGGCAGGCCUAACACAUGCAAGUCGAGCGCCCCGCCAGGGGAGCGGCGGACGGGUGAGUACCGCGUGGGAACGUACCCUUUGCUACGGAAUAGCCUCGGGACACUGGGAGUAAUACCGUAUGUGUCCUUCGGGAGAAAGAUUUAUCGGCAAGGGAUCGGCCCGCGUUGGAUUAGGUAGUUGGUGGGGUAAUGGCCUACCAAGCCGACGAUCCAUAGCUGGUUUGAGAGGAUGAUCAGCCACACUGGGACUGAGACACGGCCCAGACUCCUACGGGAGGCAGCAGUGGGGAAUCUUAGACAAUGGGCGCAAGCCUGAUCUAGCCAUGCCGCGUGAGCGAUGAAGGCCUUAGGGUUGUAAAGCUCUUUCAGGGGGGAAGAUAAUGACUGUACCCCCAGAAGAAGCCCCGGCUAACUCCGUG